GGGGGAGUAGCUCAGCUGGUUAGAGUGCUACGUUGACAUCGUAGAGGUCAGCGGUUCGACUCCGCUCUCCCCCACCA
rnacentral:tRNA from 1 species